rnacentral:lncRNA from 1 species
UUGUAAGUUAAGAACUUUUUAUUCAACUGAACUAAAAAAAAUUACACUAUACCCAAUUCAAAUACACCCUUGGAAAAGAACCACAACAUAAAAAAAAUCAAGGGGAAAUUUCAAAUUAAACCAAACUAGCUUACACUAAACUGAAAUAAAAGGCAAAUAUUUUUUUUUGAAUUUCGUCUUCAUCUUCCUGCCUCAAGGAAAUUCAUCGUUAGGAAAAAAAUAAAAUUAGUACCACCUACUAUCUACAAAUGCCAUAAUCUACCAAAUCAAAAAAAGGUAUUAACUAUCUAAACAAAAUCAAACAACUAAAAAUACAAAAAAUACAAAAGUAAGUACAUUACAAUAUGGGUAAUUCACCCCAGACUUAAAUACUUGCAUUGUCCCUAAUGCAAAAGAUCAAAAUAGAUCAGAAAAGAAAGACUCCUUGAGGCCAUUGGCCUAAGCAUCUUCAUCUUUAAAUGUGCGCAAAUAUUCCUCGUAAUCUGAGGGAAUUGAGUUCACAUCCUCAUCCCCGUCGACUACUAAAUGCAACCUCAGAUGACCCAGUAUUUGAUCUUUUACUUGGGUGCCGAGACAUACCUACACAACGUGAUUAAUAUUAGCUAAAAUACACAAAAAUAAGUUAAAAGCUAGCGGAGUAAAUACCCCACAUUUAUGUUAUUAUCAUGUUGACACUUAGAAUGUAUAACAGAGAUUUAGACUACCUUGUUCUUCAAUUGGAAUGACAUAAUGCUUAUCGGCCUACCCAACAUUAGAGAUAAUUACUACAAUUGUAAAUAAAAUAAAAAUUCAAAAACAUAAAAAUAUUUAAAAUAAAAUAAAAAUAAAUUAUGUAUUUUAUAAAAUUUGAAAUUAUUAUACAAGAUAUACUACAUAGGCAUAUUAGCAUGAAUCCUACACAUCAUUUUACGUCUAGCAAGCGAAAAAUCAUGAUGUAGCCUAAUGUCAUAGUUGUUAUUAAAAAUAACAUCUCACAAUGUAAUUUAUUUCUCACUUUGCGACGUUAUUCAAUUUCAUGUCACUUAGACAUUUUAACAAACACAUUGUAAGCAUAUCUUGCCUUCUUUUAAAUUUUAACUUGAAAUGAGACAAAUUCACCAUAUCAACAACACAUCACAACUACAAUAUCACCACACCUUCACACUAAUACUCAAUGCACAAUUUUUCCAUCUUCUUUCAUGUAUUUUCGACGUAGUAUACCCCUCAACAAUCUUCAACAAGAACCCAACCCACAUCACCUCAACACACCCUAAAAUCCUCCAUAAUCACAAAUAUAAUAUACAUUCUGAGUUUCUAAUGCUAUUUUCAACAAUAAUAACAAAAUAAACGAAAAGAAAAUUAAAAACACAAUUUUUGCUAGGGUUUAUACAAAUACAAUUGAAAUAAGAAAGAAAUACAACAUAAAUACUACUAGAUUGAAAGAAAAAAGAAAAGAGAAUACUUACCUUGCAAGAAGAAGAAGGAUUUGGGGAUGAAUUUUGAGUGAAUUUUUUUUUUUUUAAUUCUUUGGGUUGAGAGUUAGAGAGGCAUGGAGUUUGGGAGAAGGUUAAUGAAAUAAGGGGAAGGGGAGAACUCGGUUAUUAAGGGUUUAAACUUUUUUAAAAGAAAAAACACUACCACGUCACCCUCUGCGGCGUGCCCCCCGACGCGGUAGUGCAAAAGUCUUAGCUGCUCCGGAAAUUUUAUAUUUUGCCUCGUCUGAGCAAUUUUGCCUGGGGCGGUGUGUGGAAAGAUGCCCCAUGCAAUGCGGUAAGCCAAUUUUUUUUAUAGAGUUAGCCCAUUUUUUGAUUUUUUUUACUCACAAUUUAC